rnacentral:lncRNA from 1 species
CCUCCUGAAUGAUGAGAAACAAAGGCAUAUUCAGUCUCCCUCUCAUUUUAAUCCGGAUUCUGUAUCUUUUAAUGCCUACUCUAACAGGAAGCCUGUUGACUCUAAUAAGGCCGCAAUGCCCAAUACUUUCUCUUCCUUCAAACAAAGAGUCAACUUUGAUCAAGGUAGAGGGUCGUUGUUCUGUAGAUAUUGUAAGAAGUCUGGACAUUUAAUUGAUAAAUGCUUCAAACUUCAUGGGUAUCCGCAAAAUACAACUUUCAAAGGGAGGAAAUCUGGUGUUGCUAAUGCUGCUGUUGCUUCAAAUUCUNNNN